rnacentral:rRNA from 1 species
CCUACGGGAGGCAGCAGUAGGGAAUUUUCGGCAAUGGGGGGAACCCUGAUCGAGCAACGCCGCGUGAACGAAGAAGUUAUUCGUAAUGUAAAGUUCUUUCAACAGGGAAGAAAGAGAAAUUUGACGGUACCUGAAGAAUAAGCUUCGGCUAACUACGUACCAGCAGCCGCGUUAAUACGAAGGGAGCGAGGGUUAUCCGGAAUUAUGGGGGGAAAGGGGUCUGUAGAUGGCAUAGUAAGUCUUUUGUAAAAAUGCGGGGCUCAACCCAGUAGGGCAAAAGAUACUGGAAAGCUAGAGUAUGACAGAGGCAAGUGGAACUACAGGUGUAGCGGUAAAAUGCGUAAAGAUAUGGAAGAACACCAGUGGCGAAGGCGGCUUGCUGGGUCGAUACUGACAUUGAGGCGCGAAAGCGUGGGGAGCAAACAGGAUUAGAUACCCGAGUAGUC